CCUUCCGAUCUGCCCCAAGAAGAACCCAAGUUCUUCUGUGCUUGCCGGCGGCCUGCCCUGAAACGGACCUCCGGCACAGCUCGGAAUCCUGGGAGGCGAUUCUUCACCUGCUAUUCCGGGAAAGACAUUUGCAAAGUCUGGGUCUGGGAAGACCUCCUUCAGCAGUAUGUUGAGAAGAUGGUGGAUUACAACAAAUCAACAACACGUGACAUGGCGAUCCAAGAAUUAGCAAUAGUCAGGGAGAAACUCAAUGCAAGAGAGAAGCAGAUCAAUGAAUUGAAGGAAAAAUGCUGGUCCUAUGAAGACUAUAUCGCUGUUGGUCACUGAGCUGAAGUGUGCUAAAGAACGUCAUGUCGCAUUUGAAGAAUCAGCAAAAGCUAGGGAGGAAUUCAAGGCAAGAGACAAGCAGACUAACGAAUUGGCAAAAAUAGAUGAUCAUGAAGCUUUAGUUGCAACAUUUGGUGAUAUGGCAAUUUCCAAAGCCAAGUCAGUUACCAAGGAUGAUGGUGGAUCAUCUAGCUAAAUCUUGGACGGUUUUCUCUACCACAUUUACAUUAUAUUUUGGCUGCUGCUAUUUGUAGACCUUUCCCAUGCUAAAUUCUGUGUUCAAUAUGUUUCUCUAUUAAUCAAGGAGCUAUGGCAUGACUGUUUGUGAGAUGGCUGGCUGCUAUUGACCUGGCGACUCGAGGUGCCUUUCCAUGGCUGUUUCGACAUCAGAACUAUAAAGUUCCAUUGUUGGUCAAGUUAGCAUGUGCUGGUGGUCACUGCCGCAUUGUUUCAUGUAUUCUGUUUCUGUUGGUAUUUACCUUUAUUUUAGUAUCUGUUUGAGACUAUAUAUGUCCUUGUGUCUAAUUAGUCCUAUUAACAUUUGUACCAGGCUAUUUGGUAUGUCCUGAUGUGUGAUGUCUUAAGGCUAUUUCGUAUGUCCUGAUGUGUGAUGUACUAAGUAUUUGUGUGAAAGACUAUGUCCAGGUGCCCAUAUUAUGUAUCUUUAUGAGACUAUGUUUGUCAAAUGUAUUUCUGGUU